GAAGGCGAUCGGAUAGCUGCGUCUGGGAAAGUAAAAUCCGCAGAUGAGGAAAGUCCGGGCUUCACGGAAACAAGGUACCAGAUAACGUCUGGCUGGAGUAAUCCACGGGAAAGUGCCGCAGAAAAUUACCGCCGAAAAUUUUUUCGGUAAGGUUGAAAAGGCGAGGUAAGAGCUCACCGCGCAGACAGCAAUGUUUGCGGCAAGGUAAACCCUACCUGAUGUAAGACCAAAUUGGGAGGCUUUAAUUUUUAUUAAAUGCAAGGACAGUUUCCGGUCCGCUCCAGAGGUAGGUCGCACCAGUCAAUCGGCGACGGUUGGCGCAGAUGAAUAGCUAUCGCACAAAUCUUUGCCCUCAAGGUAAAGCAAAUAGUGUACAGAACUCGGCUUACAGAUUGCCUUCAAAA
rnacentral:RNase_P_RNA from 1 species